rnacentral:rRNA from 1 species
CCUACGGGAGGCAGCAGUGAGGAAUAUUGGUCAAUGGACGGAAGUCUGAACCAGCCAAGCCGCGUGAAGGAAGAAGGCUCUAUGAGUUGUAAACUGCUUUUGUAAAGGAGUAAACCUGAACGCGUGUGUUCCGCUGAGCGUACUUUACGGAUAAGCAUCGGCUAACUCCGUGCCAGCAGCCGCGGUAAUACGGAGGAUGCAAGCGUUAUCCGGAUUUAUUGGGUGUAAAGGGUGCGUAGGCGGAUGGAUAAGUUAGCGGUGAAAUGCCCGGGCUUAACCCGGGAACUGCCUCUAAUACUGUUGGGCUAGAGAGUAGGUGCGGUAGGCGGAAUGUAGGGUGUAGCGGUGAAAUGCUUAGAGAUUAUACAGAACACCGAUUGCGAAGGCAGCUUACCAGACUAUAUCUGACGUUGAGGCACGAAAGCGUGGGGAGCAAACAGGAUUAGAUACCCCAGUAGUC